rnacentral:lncRNA from 1 species
GUUCCUGCGGUCAAUAUCCGUUAGUGAACUGUUUAUUUUUUAACAGUUGAAGCGUGAAAUGACAUUUUUGCCCUUGCAAAUAUAUCCCUCCAAAAGCCCUAACUGAUAAACAUUUGCAAAAAUACCCUCGCAAAAAUGCCAACGGUCAUUUUUGUUCUUUAUAAGUGAAAUGUCCAUUUUGCCCUCACAAAUAUAUCCCUCCAAAAUCCAAAGUAAUAAAGUUGUACAGAAAUGUCCCCAAAAAUGACCCUAACGGUCAUCUUCUUCCUCUAUAAAUUCAUCACUCCAUUGCAACAUAUCAUAUAACUCUUUUUUUGCUCUUUUCUUCUUUAUUGAUCCACUAUUUUCCUUCUUCUCUCAUUUUGAUCUGUUAAAUCACAGCAAUUUUAUUUUUCGAAUUUUUUUUCUUUUCUAAUAUUUUUAUAAUGAGUGAAA